rnacentral:lncRNA from 1 species
CGUUACAACCCUUAACUUCAUCUUGAGUGUCAUGCGUUUCAAUAUGUGGAGUUUGAAUUUGGUAUGAGCAUAUGGUGUCACUGGUUCUCGCAUCUAAGUAGUAGCAUUCCAUUCAUGAGAUCAUAUCUAAACUUGCUUAUUAACUCCAGAAAUUGCUUUCUUUGUGAUACAUAUAUGUGAGGGUUCGUUUUCAUAUCUACAUCAAUCUUCUCACAUAUAACUAGUAUAGGGUGUGUAGUUAGAAAAUCUGAGUGAAAAUUGAGUGCAUACUUUGAAAGGAAUUGAGUAAAUUCUCUAAGGCAUGUUACUACAUCAAAAACAUUGUUUUAAUCGAUUAAUUGUGAACAAGUAAGUAGUGACUAUGAUUAAGUACAUGUUUAAGUGUGAAGAUGAUUCAAAUCUGUGGGGAUAAUGAUUUUUAACAUGUCAUAUGCAUUGGAAUCCCUGAGGCAAAUGUUGGAAGGUUUAGGUUGUAUUUUAUUUGUUUUGUUUCGUUUUAUUUCUUUGUUUGCUCGAGGACUAGCAAAAGCUAAGUGUGGGAGAAUUUGAUAGGAGCAUAUUUAUGCGACUUAGUUGGCUUGUUCUUGUGCAUUUAUGUCGUGUUUCCUUAGUUAUUUAAUGUUUAAAGUCAUUUUCGUGUGUUUUCAGAUUUUAUGGACAAAGUAGGCAAGAAGAUGCAUUUUGGAGCAUUUUGGAGCAAAAUGGAGCUUGGAAUGCAUGUCAAAUGCAUGGGCCAAAGUGGAUGGACGAAUUUGAGAACUAAAGAGGCCAAGAAUAUGAAGAAUUAUGGUCCAAAAGAUGAAGAAAACAGCCCAAAAAUCUGUCACCCUAACUUGCAUUCCUUGCCAUGCAAACCACAUAGAAUUCCCUUUGGAUUCUAUGACAUGCUUGAUCACUCUUGUUCCCUACAUAAUUUCUAAUUUCAUGCUUCAAUUCAUUUAAUUAUUACACUCAAUUGCUUGAUACCUCUUGUUCCAUUCACUCAUUAGAUUUUAGACAACAUUUACAUCCAUUACAUGCACCAAUUGAUGCUCCAUCAUUCACAUUU